rnacentral:rRNA from 1 species
UACAGGGGGUGCAAACGUUGCUCGGAAUCAUUGGGCGUAAAGCGCACGUAGGCGGUUCGUUAUGUCGGAUGUGAAAGCCCUUGGCUUAACCGAGGAAGUGCAUCCGAAACUGGCGAGCUAGAGUACGAAAGAGGAUCGCGGAAUUCCCGGUGUAGAGGUGAAAUGCGUAGAUAUCGGGAGGAACACCAGUGGCGAAGGCGAUCAUCUGGGGUUGUUCUGACACUGAGGAGCGAAAGCUAGGGGAGCAAACAGG